rnacentral:misc_RNA from 1 species
CUGAGUUAUUCAACUCCAAACCCAUGUGAACAUACCAAUGUUGCCUCGGCGGGACAGACCUACCCGGGACUUACCCGGUAGCUACCCUGUAGCUGCAGGUCUACCUGCCGGUGGAUUACAAACUCUUGUUUUUACGUAACACUUCUGAGUAUACUAUAAAAUAAGUUA